UGCCAGCAGCCGCGGUAAUACGGAGGGGGUUAGCGUUGUUCGGAAUUACUGGGCGUAAAGCGCACGUAGGCGGAUUAGAAAGUUAGAGGUGAAAUCCCAGGGCUCAACCCUGGAACUGCCUUCAAAACUACAUUUCUUGAGUUUGGUAGAGGAGAGUGGAAUUCCUAGUGUAGAGGUGAAAUUCGUAGAUAUUAGGAGGAACACCGAUGGCGAAGGCACUUUACUGGGCUAUUACUGACACUCAGAGACGAAAGCUAGGGUAGCAAAUGGGAUUAGAUA
rnacentral:rRNA from 1 species